rnacentral:rRNA from 1 species
AGAGUUUGAUCCUGGCUCAGGACGAACGCUGGCGGCGUGCCUAAUACAUGCAAGUCGAGCGGACCGAACGAGAGCUUGCUCUUGUUCGGUCAGCGGCGGACGGGUGAGUAACACGUGGGCAACCUGCCCGCAAGACCGGGAUAACUCCGGGAAACCGGAGCUAAUACCGGAUAACACCAAAGACCGCAUGGUCUUUGGUUGAAAGGCGGCUUCGGCUGUCACUUGCGGAUGGGCCCGCGGCGCAUUAGCUAGUUGGUGAGGUAACGGCUCACCAAGGCGACGAUGCGUAGCCGGCCUGAGAGGGUGACCGGCCACACUGGGACUGAGACACGGCCCAGACUCCUACGGGAGGCAGCAGUAGGGAAUCUUCCGCAAUGGACGAAAGUCUGACGGAGCGACGCCGCGUGAGCGAAGAAGGCCUUCGGGUCGUAAAGCUCUGUUGUGAGGGACGAAGGAGCGCUGUUUGAAUAAGGCGGCGCGGUGACGGUACCUCACGAGAAAGCCCCGGCUAACUACGUGCCAGCAGCCGCGGUAAUACGUAGGGGGCGAGCGUUGUCCGGAAUUAUUGGGCGUAAAGCGCGCGCAGGCGGUCCUUUAAGUCUGAUGUGAAAGCCCACGGCUCAACCGUGGAGGGUCAUUGGAAACUGGGGGACUUGAGUGCGGGAGAGGAGAGCGGAAUUCCACGUGUAGCGGUGAAAUGCGUAGAGAUGUGGAGGAACACCGAUGGCGAANGCAGCCCCCUGGGCUGGAAUUGACGCUCAGCACGAAAGCGUGGGGAGCAAACAGGAUUAGAUACCCUGGUAGUCCACGCCCUAACGAUGUCAACUAGGUGUUGGGAGCGCAAGUUCUCAGUACCGCAGCUAACGCGUGAAGUUGACCGCCU